rnacentral:lncRNA from 1 species
AAAAGAGGGCUACUUCACUAUGAAUGGUAACAUAUGAAUUGAAACUAAUGCGACGGGUGUCAAUUACCAAAAACGACUCGACCACUUAGUCUCGCGGGACUUCUAAGACAAGGCCGAAGAUAGAUGUGAAUGUCAUAUAAGUCUUUCCAUUUGAAGUGAGUUUUACGUUUGAUCAAAAGGGUGAAGUCCGAGUUAGCAGCACAUCAAUAUAUAAACAAGAAAAAAAAUGUUACUAUAAGUUAUUCAUUACAUAAGCCUGCUUAUUGAUCAUAUAUUUUGUCUAGAAUAAACAGAAAAGAUAAAAUCCAAUUACUUUCCUGCAGGCAACAACCCUUUAUUCUAUUUCCUUUAAAGUAUAAUCUUUGCUUGAAACUUGGGAGAUCUAGAGGCGAACGGCAGUAUAUACCAUUAAUUAACGUGUACAUAAACCUGAUUUCGAAUACUCUCUAAAGACCAGCACAAGAAAAUUAUCCUAAAAAUGAAAUUUAGAUAGGGAAAGAAGAGUGAGAGGGUCUCAUGCAACAGCUAUAUGUGGUCACCGUCAGAUGUAGACGUUUUCUUUAACUUUAAAUUGGCUUAACCAAUGCAACUUUCGUGACCACUGACCAGUCAGAAGCUAAUACUCACAAAUUUCGUUGACUGCGUUCCCUCAUGUUCAUGAACAUUUCACCCUAACAAUGAAGCAAAAACUUAUAUAAACAGUAAAACUAAGGCUCCACUGCCAAAGAAUAAAAUAUUAUAGUAUAUUGGAAAUAGUACAAACCACGUAACUUCAUAAUUCUACUAGUUUAACUUUUAGUAUCUGUUACAUUAGACACUUCCUAUUUCCACCAUAACUUAACAUAGCCUGGUAAAUAUCUAUUAUAACUUACAAGAGUUAUUGUCUCCAUUUCCCUUUAUAAAAAACAACUUUUUCCCACCCUCAUUUUGAGUAAAUUCGAGGCAGCAUUGAUAUGCUUGGACUAAAUUAAGGUUAAUAACUGUUAGCCAGCGAUGUUGUAGAAGAAAAGAUCACUAUUUAUUUCUUGAAAGCUAGAGCCAUUGAAAAGGUAUUGAGGGUCCUGAAAAUCAAGAUCCAUUAAGAUUCCUUGAUCUUCAGCACCUCCAAUGCUAGACCAAGCAGUAUAACUGUUCUCCAAAAGAAAGGAAGAUGAAUUGGAAAGACUUGAAACUUCUUGAGAAGAUGACAUACUGUAAUUGUUAUUGGCAGUACUCGAGCUAUAUUCCAUAAGCCCUGGCAGUGGAAACUGAUCAAUUGGGUCCAAAACUAGCCCUGGAUAAUCAUAAUUUUGCUGGAAUUUCAUGUCUGUCAUAUAAGAAGAUGAUGCACUGCCAUUUGCAUUCAAGUAAUAAUCUGAAUUCUCAUUAGCAUUAGCUUCAGCUUCAGCAGGAAUUGAGGCAGAAAAUUGACCUGAGAUGAUGCUGUCAGUAACUGUUAUUUCAUUCUUGCUGUUUUUGUCGAUUCCUAUCUUUCCUGCCAAUAAUCUUUUCUUCAACUUAGUGUUCCAAUAAUUCUUCACAUCAUUGUCAGUUCUUCCUGGCAGUCGGGCAGCUAUGACAGACCACCUUAACCGAGAACAUAUAGUAUUAAGUUAUUCAGAUAUAACCAAAACCAUAAAAAAAAGGGAAAAAAAAAAGUAACUAAACAUUUAAGUGUUGAAUUGACUUGCCUACUUCCUAUGCUACUAUAGAGGGAACAUAUAAUGUUGUCUUCCUCCUCGGUAAAGCCUCCAUGCUUGAUGUCUGGCCUGAGGUAGUUAAGCCACCUUAACCGACAACUCUUGCCGCAGCGUUUGAGGCCUAAAAUAUAGUAGAAAUUAAUUAUCAACAAACAGCAAGAAAAUACAUACAUAUAUACAUCCUGCCAAGCUUUGAAGAAGUAUGGCAUGAAAUUAAAGAAUGUUUCAGGAACAAUAAUCAUCGCUUGUUUUCAACGAAAAUCAUCAUUGGCGUUAACCCCAAGGUCUAAGAAAGAAGUACAGAUGAGGAGAAGACAGAGGAAAGAGACCUGCUUUGCGGGGAAGGGCAAUCCAAUUGCCUCCAGUCCCAUGUUUCUCAAGGUAGUUUCUGAGAGUGUUAUCUUCAUCAGGUGACCAUGGCCCUCUUUUCACGUUGGCUUUGUCACAGCAUGGAGCUCUUCCCAUUGAAACCACUUAGCGAUCACACAAAUUCAAGCAAAGCACAAAGAGAAAUUGAGAGACAGAGAGAGGGAGAGACAGCGCUAAAAAAAUGCUAGAGCCACCGAUUGCUUGGUAUGGGACAUGACGUGGUCUUAAAGCUUGAUAAAAACUUUAGGAAACUCGACUUUUCCUACUCUUUCAUAUAAAAAAACCAAUAGGUUUAUUUCUUCAAAUUUUUUGGUAUAGUGCAUUUUUGUCGUGGGUUUCUUUGUUGGAGAGCCAAGUCAACGCGAGUGCUUGAGAGUUGAAAAGCACGGAAAUUUCAUGCUCCUGCUGUCAUCUGAUCUGGCAAACUCAUUUGGCAGUUUUUUUUUUUCUUACAUAUGCAGAGACGAAACAGAGGUGAAGUACUUUUACCUUUGAUUAAAUUUUACGCGGUUUCUGCUUGUCUCAUUGGCCAUUUUUUUUGUGAAAAUAAAAAAUGCUUUGCUUCGGCCUUAGUAAAACAUUAAUUAGUGGUGUCCAUUUUGGGUUGCCAUGAUUGAUUAAAAAAAUUAGCAUGUGAUGGACUGUUUCAACUUAGCUUGUUAUCAUUCAACGUGUCUUGCGAGAAUGAUUUAUGAAAGUUAAAGAAUACAAUUCAGCAUAGCAUAUGAUUCAUAAUUCUAAUAAAUUUUAUUGUGUCUAGUAUAAUAUCAUUUUUUGUAUAGCAUGCUUCAUUAAUAAUUUUUUAUAUUUUUUAUAAAAUUUAAUUUUUUUAUUUUUUCAUAUGCCACGUAUUAACAUUAAUCCUUAUGGUUCAUACCAUAUUAAUUCAUUUGACUCAAAAUUUUUAAUAUAAUAUAACACAAAUAUAUAAACCAUUCUUGGCACAACCUACGACCAUCAGAGUAAGUCGUGUCAAAUACGAUCAAAAUCUUACCUUACCGUGUCCUGUCUGACACCCAGCCCAUGUACUACCUUUAACAUUAAUUGUCCCUUAAUUAAUGAAUUCAAUAUUUUGCAAAGAGUGAACGCAGUAUCACAGCAAUGAUUGAAAUUAAAAAAAAAAAAAAAAGAAAUGAUGCUCCAAUAGUUUAUUUGAUUUCUAUGUUCAUUUAUGAGAAAUAGUAUUUAGUAAAUUUAAAUUUUAUUUAUCGUCCUUUUAUUAAUCAUAAGAUUAAGAUUUUUAAAAAAAUAAUUGAACCACAAUACAGUUCGGCCUAAAUAAUUGGUCCGUUGUCUUAACUCAUAGAUGCUUUGAAUAUAUUAUUAUUAUUCCAAAAUUGGCCCAGUAGAUAGUAAAAUAAAAAAAUCUUCAACCUCGCUAAGAAAAAGAAAUGUCUUGGACCAAUAGCCUUCCAACCCAUUUUCUGGACAUAAUGGGCUCUGCCCAAAGUACUUAGGUCUAGGAUGUCAAAAUUAGUAAAAAGAUCAGAAAGCUUCUUCAACUAAGAGAUUGGGGUUUGGAGACUGGGAAAUAAAAAUGAAUUGAGAUGAGUUCCAAAAAUCACUUGAAAUGAGAAACAUUAGGAUGCAUUUUGCUGCAUCUAUAUUCCAACUAGCUAGCCUGUGAAAUCUCCUUCGCGACUGGUUACCUGAUUCCAGCAAAUUCAAGCUCGUUUGCUUAUAAAAAGUUCUCCACACCUUUGAGACUUGAGAGUGCCUCAUUUUGGAGCUUUUAGCCAUGCAUUGGAUUAGAAGUUUAAUGUUGCUAAUUAUUUCAUUUGUUGGUUAGACCAACUUGUUCCUUUUUUCAUUAAGCAAGGAUGUCAAUUUUAUUCAUAUUUAAUUAAAAUUUUAAUUUUUUCUUCAAAUGAAAACGAAAAUAUACAUUAAAUUUUAAGUAUAAGGAUAGAUAUAAUUUUAAAUUUUUUAUCAAAUACGAUAACAAAAACAGAUAAAAUAAUACCCAUCACAUCUGUACUUAUAUCUUAUAUAUAUUUUUAUAUAUUUAGUAAAUAAAUUUUUAUUAAAUAAUAAAUUUUUUAUUUUAGAUUAAUUAGAAUUAAUAUAUGUUUAUUUAAAAUAUAUGUUAAUAUAUAUUUAUAAAAAAUUACAUAAAUGUGUAAACUAUAAAAAUAAAAAAGUUAAAAACAUAAAUUUUUAUUUUAAUUUUUUAAAAAAAAUUACGAGUACAAAGAUUAUUCAUAUUUAUUAAUAUAUCGAUAAAAAUAAAAAUAAAUUUAAAAUAUUCAUUAGAUAUGUGUAUAAAAUAAAUAUAAUAUAAAAAUUUCAAAAAUAAAAUAUGAAAAAUAUUCUACCCACCUCAUAAUCUACUCAUUGACUUUCUAUCAAUAACAACAUUCUUGUUGCAAUAUAAAUCUUUUUUUGUUUUUUGGAUGAAAGAAGUUUUCAAUUAUGCAAAGGGGACUUACCUUCCUAUUCCUUUAAGUAGUUAUGGUAAUCAUUUUUUUUAAUAAUCUUGUAAUUUGUUGAUAAAAUAUUAAAUUUUUAGUUAAAUAAUCAUAAAUCAAUUUCAACAGUCUCAAACAUUAAAAAAAUAAAUAAAUUGUUGAAUAUGUUGAUCUCUUUUUUUUUUUUUAAGGUUAAGGAUAUAAUAUUUAAAUUGAUCUUUUGAAUAUUAAGAUUUUAAUGGAGACAAGAACUAAGAAAAUGACCACAUUAAUCAUAGAACAUAAUAGAGUAUCGUUCUUCUUCAUUGUUUUUUUCAGUCUCAUUUGCGCCUAACUGCAUCACUAGAAAUAGCAAAAGAUUAUGAUAAGGAAAUCAGUUGAAAAGCAACAAUUAAUGCUCCUGUUUACAUACCUAAUUAGUCACAUAAAAAAAUUCCUAGAAGCUUUCCAUUUUUUUUUUAAUUUCUUUGAUUUAAAAUAGUCCAAAAAAACACUACUAUUUUAUAUAUAUACUUCAUCUAUUAUCAUAAAGGAAAUCUACCCCAAAUCAUGCUUUCUCUUAGCUCUUUUUAAAUUAUAUAGUAUUAUAAUGCUAGUUCUAAAAAGUCUAAAGAUAUACAUGGAUGUUGGCUCAAGAAAUUUUGUUUCUUUUUUAGUUAAGAAUGUUAAUUUUAUCUAUAUUUUAUGAAUAGACUUAAUAUUUUUAAAUAUGAUACGAUAAUAUAAUAUAAAAAUAAUAUAAAUAAAAAAUAUAAAAAUGAUAUAAUUUAAAAUUUUAGUAAAAAUUAUAAAUAAAUUUAAUAAAAUAAAAAAUAUAUUUAUUUUAAAAUUUUAUAUUAAUACGAAUUAUGAUACGUAAUUUUCAUAUAAAAUAUAAUAUAAAUAUAUAAAUUAUUAAUAGUUAACAUUUUAUAAAUACAUGAAUUAUUAGAUCUACUUAUGAGAAAUUUAACUUUUUACUUAAAUGAAAAUAAAGAUUAAUCACACAAAAAAAUUCCUUGAAGCUUUCCAUUUUUUUAAAACUUCUUUAAUUAAAAAUAGUCCAAAUAAAAAACACUACUAUUAUAUAUAUACUUCAUAUAUUAUCAUAAAGGAAAUCUACCCCAAAUCAUGCUUUACAUUAGCUAUUUCUAAAUUAUAUAGUAUUGUAAAGCUAGUUUUAAAAAAAUCGGAUGGUGGCACAAGGGAUAAAGAGAGUUUUUUUUUUUUUAAUUUAAAAUAUUAAUUUUAUCCAUAAUUGAUGAGAAAUUUAAAUUUUUAUUUAAAUAAAAACAAAGAUGAUUAUUAUAUUAUGAGAUAAAGAUAAAUAUAAUUUUAAAUUUUUUUUAAAUGAAGCCGGAUAAUAUAGCACUGCUUUAUAUUUUGUGUAUAUUUUUAUAUAUUUAGUAAAUAAUAUUUUAUUAAAAAUGUAAAAUAUUAUUUUGAUUAAUUAAAAUUAAUAUAUUUUUAAUUUAAAAAUAUAUAUUAAUAUAUAUAAUUAUAUAAAUGUACAAAAAUUAAAAAUAAAAAUAAAUUUUUAUUGUUUUUUUUAAUUUAUAAAAUGAUAAUUAUUUAUUCUUAUUAAAUAUUAAUUGAGUAUAUAAAAAUCAAGAGAUAAAAAUAAAAAAAUAUUUUAUUCAUUUCAUAUUAUACCCAUUAUUUUUUUUAUUUUUAAUUAUUCAAAUUCAAUCGAUUAAAAAUUAUGAAAUUAUAAAUUCUGCUAAAUUUGUAAUUAAACUCAAUAUCAGUACACAUGCUUUGACCGAUAAAAAAAAUUUCGAAACUUAAAAAUUUCUUAUCAAUAAAAAAUUUAAAAAUAGUCCCAAAAUUAAAAUAAGGUAUCAACAUCAAGAUUGUACAACCCCCAACUUUAUUUUUUCACCCUAUAUAUCUAAACUGUUUGUUUUAAAAGCAAAAUUUUAAGACUAAUUUAAAUAAAGCCAAAAUCUGUUCGAAUAAAACCUAACAGACUACCCUAAAUCAUGGGAUAAGUUUGAAUUUCUUUUUUACUUUUGUCUUUUUUUUUUUAUUUUCUGUAGCGACAAAGUCAGCUUGAUGAAACCAUUAACCGAUGAAAGCGACUUCCAACUCUUGCACUCCAAAUUUUUUUUAUCACUUACUUGGGUUGACAGUAACCUUGAUUUGCCGGCAAAUCACACUACACGAAACCCCCCUUUUUUUUUUUAAUUUUAUUAUUGUAUUAUUUGUGCCUAUGAUUUUGGCUUGCUCCUUGACAAAACUAUUUUACCACACCCUCUUAGUUCCCUUUUUUUUUUUUUAUCUUAAUUUUUUAAUGUAUAUUUAAUGAUUUACAUCAGUAAAUAUGGGCCCAUGCCUUAUUUAAUUUGAUUAUAUUCAAUUUGAAGAUUUUGAUCAAUUUUGACCAUGGCCAUGAUUAAGAUUUUGCAUUGACAUUUUAGGAGGAUAUCCAAGGACUUUAGGCAUGAUCGAACCGGCCAAAGUCCUCAUAGUUACAUGUCUUCGCUUUUAUUUUCUUAUAAUGCAAUUUGUUUGGAUAUAUAUAUAUAUAUAUGAUUUCAUAUUUAAUGUAUUUUUAAUAUUUAAUAUCAUAUAUUAUUAGUAAAACUUUAUUAUGAUACAUCAUUAAAUAAUUUAAUUUUAAAUAUAUUUAUUUUUAAAUUUUUAAAAUUAAUUUUAUAAUAAAAUAUUAUUAUUUGAUUUAUCUAUAAUAAUAUAUUAAAUAUAAACUUUUUAUAUAUUAUAUACAAAUAAAUAUAUCUUCAAAUUUUAUUGGACUUAAUUUUCUUUCUAAUUUAAGGGUAUAUUUUUUAUUUUAAAAUAUUUUUUAUAAAAAUUGAACUCUAAUUAAUAAAUAAAUAAUUUCUCUUAAAAAAAAUAAUCUGACAAUUGGGAAAGCAUUAAACUUUGAAUAGUAAAAAGAUUUUUUUUUUUUGACGAGUGAAUCAUGAAUUAUUUGAAUUGUAUUAAAUUUGAGAUAAAGACAGUAUCAAUAAUGAAGUAUGUUGGAGUUGGAGCAAACUAAUAAUUGUUCCCUUGGGGAGAACUCAUUGGAUCUUUGUGAUUAGUUUGUAUCUAGCUAGGGCUAGAUUUCUAAUAGACAAAGCACAUGUGUAUUCUUUUAAGCAGGUCUUCGGUUGAACGGACAGCAUUAUCGGUAUUAAAAUUGAAGCUGCCAACUAGGGCUUAGCCCUAGAGUUUACAAACGAUAAUGCCAGAUUGCCAGAUCGUGUCCUCUUACGAUGAUCCUUAUGUUUUUCAAUUUUCAAUUCAGUUUUGGAUAGAUAAUAAUUUUAGGUUAAUUGAUAAUAAGAUUCAAUUUUGUUUUAAUAUAGAAUCACAUAAAAUUUAAUAUUUAAUAGAUAUAAAACAACAUCAUAAUAAAAUUAAAAUUUUAAUAUCAUAUUAAACAUAUAAUCUAAAAUCAAUUAACAAAAUAAAAAAUUUUAAUAAUAUAUAAAAUUAUAAUAUAUUUAACAAAAAAUAUAGUCAACAAAUUCUUCUAAAACUAAGCUGGUAAAACUUGUUUUACUUCUUCGAGAAAAAAAAUUACUGCAAGUAUAAAUUCCAUCGUCCAUCGCAUAGAAAAAAAAUGGUGGGAGAGAUGGAUGCAGAGGGAGAACAAAGGGUGUGAUGAAUUGCUACCUAAUUCACUGAGCAGAACAAAAGUUAAAAUGUCAUAACCUAAUAAGCAAUUAGCUUUAACCAAAAAGAAAAAAUCUGGAACAGAUACAAUACAAAGAUCUUAUCUUGAAAGAGCUGUAGCAAUUAAUUUAGUUGACAAAUUUUCUUCAUCCAUAUCGGAAAAGAAACGCUAAAUAUAAUGGAAGUUUAUAGUUUCAAAAGAAAAAGUAGGUUAAUAAUUUCAAAGUAACGAAAUUAUUACACUGUAAAACCAUCAAUGUCUAAAUCGAGCUUUGGUUUGUCAUUAAGAAUGCCCGUCAAAAGGUGCCUAUAUCUAAAACUAUGAUUCGGUCUAUAGUUUUGCACGUCCAAAAUCACCGUAGAAUUUUUUGUCAAACGAUCGGACGGUUGAGACUCCAUGAGAGUACCUCGAUCAUCUUCGUAACCUAACCAGGACGUACCAAUCAUCUUUUAUCAAAGCUGUUGAAUAAGAUCCCAUUUCAUGAUGUUGCGUGUUGGAAGGGUUAUAAAUAAAAAGAACAAGUAAAGUCCACUUGUGCAUAAACUCUCAGUGUCCUCUUUUCUGAGAUGUUUCUUUCUAUACCCAGUAGCCACUCAGUCCCUCCUUGACUUGGAACUGAAAUAAAAACAAAAAAGCCUUCUCUUUCAGCGAUGGAUUACAGUAUGUAAAACGAAUUGCCAAUGCUUUGAUUGGUUUUCUUUCCCAGACCCACUUAAGAAAAUCCUCCACACUAGCCCAGAAAAUCUCCAACCCUUUCUACAUUUCACUGCAAAAUCCAUAUUGAUGCUGACAAAAAUUUUGAGUGUUAUGACUUGGUCAAGUUUUACUCCACUUCAAGCAUAUCAUUCACUCUGCAAAGGGUUUUGAGAUUAAAUACAGUUGAACAGCCGGCUAUGGUUUAUCAUGCUUUUUCCAAAGUCUAUGCCUUUUGCAUCAUUUCACAUUAGCAAUUCUUAAAAUAUAAAAGAACUGAAAUCCUUCAACAAAAUAUAAAAUGCAUUAAUCUGCAGGUCCACGAGCAUACAUAGAUCUGAAAUUUUACAUUGAUCAUUAUUAUAAUAUCAAUAAUUUAUACUAUUUACUAGUACUAAAAAACGAUCAGCAGCUUGGAUAAUCAUUAAUUAAUAUACUUAAUAGGCACAAAAUCAACCAUUAUAAUAAAGAAAGGGAAUAAUCAACUGUCUGCUACCUAUACAAAAGCACAAGGUUCUUUCUUUACGAGUUCUGAUCUUAUGAAGCUCAUAGAAAAUUCCCCAGAAAGAGAUUCUAAUCCUCACCAGUCACCACCCCACUUCAAUCACUUCGUAGGAAAUAAUAUUUGAUAUUUACACAGAAUCUUCAAUUUGGUGCAGCAGCUACUCCAAAAUAUAUUCCAGAUGUUGAGAAUUUUCAGAUUUUCUUUUCCUUUAGAUACUAUUCACAGUGAGAAGAAAACUCAAAAUAGAUUCAUUUAAUCAGAAAAUAAUGAAGACUCACUUGAGCGAGCUAGCUCACUUCCCCUUCCCCUUCCAUAUAUUUUUUUUUUUCAUUUCACCAGGUCCGUAAUCCAAUCCACAUCCAGACCUCCAGAAAACUGACCCGGGUUAACCUCCAAAGAAUUCUCUUUACUCAGUUUUUCAAACAUCUUUGCACGUAAAUCCCUUCCAGACUCGACUCUUUCCAUCAAAGGUUCUUCUUCACACCCUUGAUCCAAGAAAUCCAAGUACCCAAUACCAGGACGGGUCAAGUUUCGGGUCGGAGUACUAGGCAGGCUACAGAAACCGGGUCGGAUAACUGCCCCUCUGGGAGACCCGAACCCAGAAGGAGUAGAAGGAGAACCACCACCUACUUGCGUGUUCCAAGACGAAGGCAAAGACUUAACUUUACCAAGCUGCAAAUUCCUCAAAGAAGCCACCAUCUUAUUAAUAGAAGCCGAACCCAGAGAACGACUCAGAGACUGAGCCAUAGGUGAAACAGGCGGUGAAGAAUCAGCCCGCGGACUCACCGGAGGAGAACCGGAACCAGAGGAAGACCAAAGAGUCAGUGCUUUUGCACAAGGUGCACCAUCAUAAGAAUCAACAGAGUUCACAACCCUAAGCUGGUCUGGAGUAUGAGCAAAGAAACAAACCCGACGCCUACAAUCCGGCCCGUCUUUGCAUGGCUGUGUCCUGUAACGAGCCGGGUGGAGCCAGCACUCGAAAACCCCAUGGGCGAACUCGCAAGCGUCUCCUUUUCGACAGUUUCCUUUCCUGAAAUCAGGGCAAGCCGUACCAGAGUAAUGAUACUUCCUCGGGUCCCUCCGACGAGCUUUUUCACCUGGAUGAGCGUACGGACACUCAGUCCAGUCAUGUGACCGGCCACGUGCACAUCUCCGAACUUUGAACUCAAACAUCCUGAAAUGAUCACACGAGUAAGCAUCAACAGGAGAAUCCGGGUUGUCAAGACCCGAAAGCUCAGAAUCCGACUCCACAUCCGGUUCAUUCGAUGGCAAGUAACAUUGCAGCGCUGUUAACGCUUCCUGGAGGAAAAACGGGUUGCUGUUAUUGCUGAAGUGGUUGUCGGCCGCAUUGUAAUUGAGAAGAGAGUAAACCUCAGCCGUUUGAUCAUCUUCAAGGUUAGGCCAAGGUGGAACGUGGAUCGUUGGAUUGGGACGAUGAGUUUCUCCGAGCAUCAUUUUUCGCUUGAUCUGGUGUGGUUUUUUUUGGCUUGUGAGAUUUGUAUACAGAAACACCGGCAAGCUUUGGUCGUUUAUAAGCAGAAUCUGGUAGUGGGAAGUAGGGCUGUUUAACCGUGGUUAGAUUUAAAAGUAACCGUAGUUCGUUAAAGAUCUAGCCUAAGGAGCUAUAAUUUUGUAUAUUCCGCUUUCAACUGCGGUAAAAAACGAUCUAGGUGGGAGUAGUAUUGGUGUUACGGACUUGUUACUUAAGCAGUUUGAAAGUGAUUAUGGGAUCGCCACGUGGAUAACGUGGGUUAACGGUGACAAAGCUGUGAGGUGAAGUAGGCUUUGGAAUAAUUAAUCCUGCUAGGCCCCGUAGCGUUCCAAAGGCGGUGGAGCUUGAGAUCUGCUGGAUAAAGACGAGAAUUUUCUUCUUUUUUUUUUUAACAAGAAAAAAAAAAGGGAAGUACUAUUAUAGUACAACUAAACGUAUUGAUAAAUCUCCAUCUACUUUUAUAGUGAGAAAAAAAAAAUCUCAAUUUUUUAUUUGAAUAAUUGAUGAAAAAAAAUUUUCAUACCGUUAUCGUACCAUUUAAAAAUUGACAACAUUGCUCUAAAUUUUAUAUUGAAAACUUGCAAGACUUCGGUAUAACAUAUAUAUAUUUAUAAAGAUUUAAACUUAUGUUUAUAAAAUACUUAUGAAAUAUAUUAUGAAACUUUUAUGAAGAGUUAAACUCAUAUUUAUAAUCAAUGUGAUAUAUAAAUAAAAUUUUUAAUUUUAAUUAUUAAAAUUAAAAUUUUAAUAUUUUUAAACAUAAAUAAAAUUUGAUAUUUAUAAAUGUAAAAAACUUUAAAAUCAAAGUAAAUAAUUUUUUCACACACAUAAUGUAUAUUUUUAUAAGAUUCAAUUUUCUUUUUCUACAUCUUACAUUUUAUUUAAUUCCAAUUUUUAUUUAUUUUUACUAUUUAUAUAUAAUGAGAUUGUAGGCAUAAAAUUGUUGCAUUUUAGUGUUUAAAAUUUUAUUUUAGUUACAAUCACGAAAGUUCUCAAAUAUAUAUAGGCAGAAGAAAACGAUAAAGUAUGAUACCUUUGCCUCGUCAACUCAUUUGUCACUGAUGUUUUAACUUUGGACAAAUUGUUCCAUGUAUUUUGAUCGUUAUGUCAUAUCAAAGGGUAAUGGUUUUGAUUUCCUCAUAUAUUUUUCCAUUGUCCAUUUUGACUAUUUUCAUCAUUUUCUCUUUACGAAAUUCGAUGUCUCCCAUUUUAAAAAAGAACAACCAAAGGGAAAUAUACUAGCGGAAAGUACCAUUUGAAUUGCCCCAUUUGAAGUUCAAGUAAAUGAUUGUUACAAGCACAUUACAUCCAUUCCUCAUCAUCACUCUCAAUGUUGUCUUUUUGUAUAUAGUAAACUAUAAUUUAAUAAAUAAAAAAUUUAUGAAUGUUAAAAUUAAAAUUUAUUUUUAAAAAUAAUUAUAUAAAUUAUUAAAUUAAAUUAUCAAUUUGUUAGCUCACCCAACAAUCAUCUUACAUGAUAAUCAAUCUUGUUUGUUUUUUAUUUAAUUUUGUUGUUCUCAUUGUUUGAGUUCAUUUUGGUUUAUUAAAUUAAGAUAGUUUUUGACUAACAUGCAUGUAUUUCAAUCUAUUUUUUAAUAUAAAAAGCCAUAGUUUAGAAUAAAAGAAGAAAUUUAAAAUUUAAUGAAUAUUCAUUAAAUGUUAUUUUUUAACUGCAAACCCUAGCUUCUAAAAGAAGAAGAAGAGCCAAUUCUUUAGCCUUUGUUCUUUGUCCAAUUCUUGGAAUAACCGAAGAGGAGCUUUAGUGCUUUACCAACAAAACUUUUGCAUUUCUUUUUUCCAUUGUUAGGGCAAUUUGUUGAAGUCACCCCUGAUUCCUUCUUGGGAAGGGCUGCCAACGGGAGGGCAGGUAGGUUCCCUUUCGGUACGUCGGACACCAAAGGCUUCACCUGAUCUCUCUCGUCUAGAGGAAUAACUAUUCAUUUUUGUCGAUUCAUAACAAAAUUAUUAAUCAAAGGACGGAGUAAUAGGAGACUCAAAUUUAGGUGUACAUGUGGAGGCAACAUGGGGCUUGAAAUGAAUAGAAGCCAUUAAUCAACGACAAAUCAUCAAAGGCAGUCUGCCGACUGCUAAACAGGUUAUAAACAAAAUAAAUAAUUUUCUGACGUCCACCAGAAAGAAAGAAAAAAAAAAACCUUUUCCUUCCGAACACCUGGCAAAUUCUGGAUUCGUCCACCACACUAAUCUCGCCAUGAAUUUAGCCGUCCAUUUUUUUUUUAUUAAUGUCCUUAAAUUAUAUUAAAAUAUUAAUAAAAUAUUAAUUAAUAUGAAAUUGACCCAUUUUUAAUUAAUUUUAAAUAACAAUAUAUGAUUAAUAAAUACUUUGUUAAUACUUCAUUAAUUAAUAAAUAUCAUAUUAAAAAUUUAUAAAAUUUAUAUAUUACAAUAAAAUUUUCACUAUUAAAAAUCAUUGAUACCAAAUUAUUCAAUUCCCCUUUAAAUUAUAACAUGUUUCAUUUCUUAUUUCUUUCAUGUCGGAAAUGAGUCAUGCCACCUUUUUUGACGACUGUUUCUAGCGUAUUCUAGAACAACUUCGGUUCACCUCCGCUAAUGUGCUCGUUUGGCGCCAAUUUAAUGAGGACGUUUUUGGCUUAGUUUACAUUUAUGCCCUUAGUCGAACGGCCUUUUUUGGAAGGAAAAAAAAUUGUUUUUACUUCAAAAUUCGGUAAGGUUUAUUAAAUAUUUUACUAUCUUAAAAUUUGUAAUAAAAUUUUGUUUUCCAUUUAAAUAAAAUAAAAUAAUUUGAUUUUUUAUUAAUUUUCUUUCUGCGUUCUAUCUCAUUCUAUUUUUAAAUCAAUACAUUAAGAAAGGUUGUAAAAUCUCAAUUUUCGUUAAGAAAGUACCCUGCAAUAUACAAUAAAAUGAAUAUAUAUUUUGUAAAAAUGAAAAGAUUUUUUGGAUGUGUAAAAUAAAAUUUAUAAAUAAAAAGAAUUCAUCCUACCAAAUAACUGUAACGAUAGUUACAUUUAAAAUAAUAAUUUUCAUUAUUAUGAUUAAUAAAUAAUUAAUUUAAUUGAUUAAAUUUAUAUUUUUUAAUAAAAAAUUUUAAAUUUAAAUUUUAUUAAUAAUUAUUUAUUAAAAUUAUUUUAAAUAUAUAAUUUAUAAUUAUUUAUUUUAAAUUAUCAAAUAUGAUAUAUUUUAUUUUGAUUUAAGGACUUUAUUACUUUCAAUCAAAAAUGAAUUUAGAUUUUAGAUAAAUUUGCAAGUACCAUUCUCUGGGGGAGAAUAUCGUCAAUCGGCAAUUCAACGAGUCAACCACCGUCACGUGAAGUUGGAUGACAAAAACCAGAAUCAGAACAGAGCCCGAAGAAACAUUAAAAAAAAUAACCGAGGAACACGUGGCACCCCCGACAGAAAUCUUAUCCCGUCCCGACAAAAACCAAACGGGAGCUCGGCGUACGAGAAAAAUCCCCCUCCCUUCCCUUCUCUCAAGGAAAUGCAGUACCGAUUUUUAUUCGUACGGACGAUCUCACCUCGUCUACUCCUUUUUAUUUGUCUUGGAAUAGUUUGAGCGUACGCGUGGCCUCCUGUGUCCUUUUAAUUUGGAGCAAAAACCGCCACGACAUAUGCGAAAACGAAUCGUGGCAUCAUCUUCAUGUCCGCCGGCUCUACCUUUACACCUCGAGAUUCUCGUGAUUUUGACGCUUCAUUUUUUUUUUUGCUUUUCAUUUCUUUUUUUUUUUUUUAAUUCUUUUCUAUUACUAGUAGUUUUAAAUUUUAUUAUUGGGCCAUCUGGAUUAAUGAUGAUAAAUAAUAAUAGGAAGUUGGUCGUUGUACUACUAAUAGUAUAAUACCCUUUUUCCGUUUUAAUUCAAGCAAUGGUGAAUGAAUUGGCUGUGGAAUGAUAGAGUUCGAAUCCAUCAUCUUCAACAAGUAAUUUUUUUUAAAACAUUUCAAUAAGUAAUAUUAUUAAUUAAAAAUAACUUAAAUACCAUUAUUUUAGGACAAUUCCUACAUGUUUCCAUAUUUUACAUUUGAAAAGUGUUAAUCAAUGUCCGAAUGGUAAUGAUUAAGGUAAUAUUUAAUGAGUUAUUUUUUAAUUUAAUGAAAAUAAUGCAUUAAAUAUGAAAUAUUUUAAUUAUUUUUAAACAGUAUUUUUACUCCUAUCUCACGUGAUUCAAAAGGGAUUAUUACUUUUAUAAACCCUUAAAGAAGUGCAUGAAUCUAUAAAAUGGAGGAGCAGCUUCCAAAAGUAUGGAUGGAAACAACGAACUUGAUUACUCUAUUUCCAAGUGAAUAAAUAUACUAUAUGUAAUUAACCCUAACAGGAGACAGACAUUAUUGCAUGUUUAAUGUUACAUAACAAAAUGCAUGCAUCCAUUUGUGUUUUGGUUCUCAAACUAUAUGAAAGAGAUUGGAUUUUCUCGUGAUCUUUUUAAUGGCGUAUGGACACGGUCAUUUGCAUAAACAAAUAUCUUCUUCUUUUUCUUUUUUUUUUUUAACAACGAAAUUGUGGCUUGGUUUUCUCCACUCAUAUGCAAUCAAAUCACAUCGGAUCAAGAUGAAGAAUUGUAUAAAAGCAUUAAAUCUUCUGCUUGCCAUAGCCUAUACAUAUAUGCAUGUAUGUUUGACAUUCAUCAGUUUGGAUCCAUGAAACUUUUUCAAGCUCUUUCUCUCUAAUUCGUACAUGUAUAGGUUUACUUUUUUAAAUCUUUCUUUCAUUGUCAAAUUUAACCAACUUAUGACACUUUACCUAAUUCGCACUAAAGAAAACACUCUAAUUGUAAGCUUUUAAUUUUAUUGACUUAACCUACAUAACUUUCAAUCAACUUGCAUUUCUUUUAGUUACUUGAUGCAUUUCCCUUUCACCAUUCCUCUUCCGCCUUGUAGAAAUAAACGUUUAAUUUACUCCCUCUUCUUUCUACUUAAAAAAAAAAAAAUUAGGCCAUGCUGAAAGCAAGAUCAAAUAAAAUUUUCCAUGCACUUAUAUAGUGUAACUAAUAAUUGAAAAUUUUCAUUAAAUAUGGCUCAUAUAGUUAUAUUUCCAAAUAUAGUGAUCUUUAAUUACUACCUUCAUCCUUUUUUUUAAUCUUUUUUUAAGAUAUCCUAAAAUUAUAGAUACAUUUUAAACAUAUAAUUUUUAUAUUUUAAAAUUAUUUUUAUAAAUUUUUAUUUUUCGACAUUAAAAUUUAAGAAGCUGUAAUUUUAAAAAAUUUUAAAAUUAAAUAUAUAAAAAUUUAACAAUAUCCAAAUAAUUUGAGAUAAAAAAAUAUGUUUUUUUUAUGAAUAGUGAAGUCAUCUUCUAUUUUCUUAAAAGACUUUUUCUUAAAAGACUUGAUGCAUGGUUGUCUUGUCACUUCGUACAUUAUUUUUCUUUUCUAAAACUUCUAAUACUUUAUUGUUUAUCUUACUUGCAGUCCAAUUUAACUUUAUCCAUUUGAAUUAAUCGUACUUGUGCCAUUAAUAGUUUUUCUAUAAAGGUACCAAUUUGAUAAUAAAAAAAUUUUAUAUUUGAAUUUUAAAAUUGUUAUAUAUUAUUUUUUUAAAAUAAUUAAAUAAAUUAAUUAAGUUAAAAUUUAUAUUUUAUAUAUAAUAUUAUUUUUUGUUUAUACUAAUUAUAUAUUAUUAUUCCAACAAGAACAAUUUUAAAAAGGUAAAAACUAAAAUAUUUUGUGUUGGCGAAAUCAAAUGACCUUAAGUGAAAUUUUAAUUUUGAACAAAAAUGAAUAAAUGAAAGUUUAAUCCUUAAUUAAUUUCAAGUGACUCACAAAUAAAUUUCAACAUAUUCAGAGGAUUUAAUAAGAAAUUUACCGAAGAGUGUUAUAAUAAUUCAGGAAAGACGUUUUCAGAUCUGCCUCGGGGAUAAGGCGGAGGGGAAAAUAUUUUCUCAAUUAAAAAUAAGUAGAAGUUUUUAUUAUUUAAUUCAAAAGAAAUAAUAAACUUUUAACUAAAUUAAUGAUUAAAAUUAGAUAUAAAAAUAAAUAAAAUAUUUAAAUAAAUAUUAAUUAUAAAUCUAGAGAAAAAUGCAUUUAUCCUCUUUAAAUUAUUUUUUAUUAAUUUUGAAAUAAUGAAGAGGAUUUUUUAAAAAACUGAAAGAAAAUAUGGGAGGAAAAAAACAAAAAAGAGAGAAAAGACAACACUAUUUAUCAAAUUAAACCCAUUUGGUGCCACGAGUCAAGGAGCAAAUUCAGGUGGCCCCCCUCGCCGGUCAACAUUCCAUGAUCAGGGUUGAGGAUUGACUGCCGAAUUAAAUCACCACCACGAGAAAAAAAAUUUGUAUGUCCACCGCAGAACCAAGGGGCUGUCAACGUUUCUUGGAUUCAGAGGAUCUCGUGGGGUACGUACGUUGAAUUGAAAGUGAAAAGUUUACCGACAAGGGAUUGACUGGCCCUCGACGUAAAAUUUUUAACUUCGCGUUUAAUUAAUAAUUUUUUGUUAAAAUGAUCUUAAAUACAUGAUUUAUGGCAGUUAUUUUUAAAUUAUAAAUAUAAUAUAUUUUAUUUUGAUUUAAAAAUUAAAUAAUUUAUUUGUUUCAAAUUUGUAAUACGAAAAAAAUAAAAGGUUGGACAGAGAAUUCAUAAUAAGAAAUUAUUAAAUAUAUUAAAAGCAAUUUUUUUUAAUUUUACAAAUGUUAUCAAUAGAGUGAUAUUUUUUUAAUAUAUUUUUAAAAAUAAAAUUAAUUAAAAAAUAUAUAUUAUCUUGUUAAUUUUAUUUAUAAAAUUAAAAAACCUCAUUAAUAAUAUAUCAAAUAAUUUUUUAUUAAUAAUUUAUUAAUAUAAUUAAUAAUUUACUAGUACUAAGUACUAGUAAUUUGUCGGAAAGCACCCGCCAAAUAUCAAGUUCAACUUUAAUGCCUUUCUUUCAUGGAUGCCCUCAAGGGAACAUAAUUACCAAAAUUUUAAUAGUUUGGCAAUGAGAUGAUCAACUUGAUUUUAUUAAUAAUUGUAGGGUCUAUUGAUAUUGUUAGAGUGUUAAAUUUUUAAUAUUAAUAAUUAUAUAAUUUAAUUGAUAAAUUUUAAUAUAAAAAAUCAACUAUUUAUUUUCAAGAUUUAAAGCCAAUUAAUUAUCGUUGAACCAAACAUUGCAUGUCAUUUAGUUUUUUUUUUAAGUUAUCACAUUUUUUUUUUACCAAAAGUUAAUUGAUUUUUUUUUUUUUUUAAGAGGGUAAAUACUCAUAAAAAAAAAAGAAAGAUGACGUAAUUAAAACUCACGCUUAUAUAUCUUUUUUAAAACCUUUUAACCAUUAAAUUAAAACGUGAAAGACUAAUAAAAAAUACUAAGAAAAAAAAUACACCAUGUAGAUAUUGGCACAAAAACUCUAAUCCUACUUAAAGUUCACUUUGUCUCGUUAAAGAACGGAAAAACAUAUUUUUAAAAACAAAUUAAACUUAUUUAAUUUAAUCAGAUUCUUGAUUUUGUUUUAAUAAAAGAUGGGAGGUUCAUUUCAAGGGGAAGGCUGCUUAUUUCUUUAAUUUUCCUUUGAUUUUCCAAUAAAUUAUUCUAAUCUUAUGAAAUAUUUUCAUUUAUGGUUUGGUUCAGAUGUUUCAAGGGAUUUCCAUUUCAUUACAUGAUUUCUUGGCCGAAAUAAGCACAACCCACCACUAAAUUAUAUAUCAAUAUUAUUCAACGAUUCAUCAAUGGAUAAGAACAUAUGAAGGUAUUGAAACAGAUACUUUGCUUUCCACAUCAAAUAGAUUAAAUUUCAGAAAAAUAUAGCGAUGAAACGAUGUGACUAAAGAACACGAGCUACACGCCAACGCCCUGUCUCUAACGUAAGUCGCCUUAUAGAAUCAUGUGUAAAAUGAUGAUGAUGAUGAAUGAUGAUACCCAUGUGGGUACGUUACAAGCAUUUCAAAUUGUAUGCUACCAUAUAUGACUUAACUCUUGACAUUUUCCCAUUAUAUAAUUCAUACUUUCAACAAUUUUGUUUUGAUAAUAUUUGAGACUUGAGAUCUAGUAUUUUUUUUUUCAAAAAUGUUAAAAAGUUCAAAGUUAAAAUAUUCGCUCUUUCAUGAAUUAGAUUUAUUCACGAUCAAAUCGAAUCAAGUUUAAUUGAGUCUAAAUAAGAUAUAAAAUUUUUUUAAAUUUAUGUAAAUUUGAUUUGAUCUUAAAUAUGUAUUUUAUUUUUUUUGUUAGGUUCAAUUAUUUUUUAAAAACUUUAUUCAAAUUCGUCCAAAUCUGUUCAUUUUUUUAAAUAAAAAAAUUUAUAAUAAAUAUUAAUUAUAAUAAAUUAAUAGUUAACAAAAUAAAAUGUAAAAAAUAAUUUAUUAAUUUAAUUAGGUAUUUGAAUAUGAUUAAUAUAUAUGGCAUAAAAUAUUUAUUUAUAUAAAUAUUAUUUAAUUAUUUAUUUUUAUAUAAUAUAAUUUAUAUAAUAAAAUUUUGAUCAAAUCAAGCUCAAAUUUUAAAUUUUAUAUUCAAUAUUUAAUUCGUUUAAGAAAUAAAUUUAAAUAUAUUUAAUGAACUUAAAAUUUAUUUCUAAUUUUUUAUAAAAUUUCAAAUAAAAUUUUAAGUUCAAACGAAUAAACCUAUCUUUAGAUAGGUCUAUCAUGAGUCAGUUAAUUAUAAUGCAUCAAAAGAUUUCUUUUGUUUCAAUGGGUUAGAAAAACGGAUGAUUUUUAUUUCUUUUCAAUGUACUGUAAUAUUUAAUAUUUUAAACAAUCAAACAUUGAAUUUUAAAUAUUUUCUCCAUAAAUUUGAUGGAUCACACGUAAAGAUGGCAAUCCAACAUGUUCUCGAUGAAUUUCGAGCUGACUCAAUUUUAUGAGGUCGAUUUUUUUUUAAAUUCGAGUUUCGGGUUAGGUAAUGUUAAAAAAUAAUCGAGAUUGAAUUAGAUUCGAAUUUUAAGUAAAUUGAUUCGAUCCAAUAGUAUAUAAAAAUUUAUUUUUAAUUAAUUUGUUAAUUAUAUAUAUUUAUAUAAUAAUAUUUUAAAAUAUUUAUAUUUAAAAAAUAAUAUAUUAUAUUUUAAAAAUAAUAUUUUAUUAAUUUCAAAUCAAAUCAGAUCGAAUAUGAUUUAUAUAAUGUCAGAUCAAGAUCAGAUAUAAAAAAAUAAAAAAAUUUUUUAAAUAAAUCAAAUUUAAAUUUAUUAAAAUAUUAAAUUGAAUCAAAUUCAAAACGAGUAAAAUUCACUCCGAAUUCGACAACUUUAAUCACACACGACCGUUGAUGCUUUAAAAUCUUUUCUUCAUUUUCAAAAGUCUCAACGUAGAAGGAUGAGUCAUCGUGCUCGAUGAUCAUAAGCAUGCGCAUCCCCAAAGACUCUUUACCAAUGCAUUAGAUGAAAAACCUGAUUAAUUUUAUGUGUGAUCCGAUGUCAGAAAUGCAAGAAGGGACAACUGAUUGAUAAAGAAAGAUCAGAAUAAUGGAAAAAUCAUUUCCUAUCAAUUUCAUAUCCAACUUUAAUCUUGCCCGCCAUCAUCCGCAUGGUGCAAUUUCAAGUUAAUUGGCUUUUCAAAUUCAGUUCUUUUUUUUUUAAGAGAUCAUAAUUCAAAAAUAAAAAAUAAAUUAAAAUUUAAAAUUAUUAAAUAUUAAUUUUUAAAAAUAAUAAAAUUAAAUUCAGCUAUUAUUUUUAUUCUGAUCACGUCAAUAUAAUAAGCAUGGUGUAAUUUUAAUUACUUUUUGACUUUGACUCUUUUUUGCACGAAAAUGAUUCGAUGAGCUGCGAAUCCUGCCACGUGUUAAUCAUCAAUUGCACGAGGAAAAAUCAUAUGUAAACAGUCUUAAUUAUAAAUGGUUUUUUCUUUAUGAAAAUUUUAAAAAAUGGGAAGGAAAUUUUAGUUGAAAAUUAGAGAUGGCAAAAUAGCCUUUUCUCAGUUUGUCCUGUUCAUGGCUUGGAGGGAAGGGUCGAUUGACAUUACUUGAUUGACAAUGUUGCUAAGACAGUACUACAUAUAUACAUACACUAGACAAAAGAGAGAGGCCGUGAUGUGACCGUACAUCACCCUGACUGAUAUACUCUCUUUAUUAAAAUUUUUUAUUUAAACAAAACAAAUAAUUAUUUUUUAUUAUAUAGAAUUUUAUUUUUCUCCAUCUCAUUAUUAAUUAUUGAGAGAUCAAUUGGAUAGAUAAUAAAAUUAAUUUUGAUAAAAUAAAGAAUAAUGGUAUAAAUUAUUGUAAUUAUAAUUAAAAAAAAUUCGCAUUGAAUUUUUAAAUUUUAAUGAAAAAAUUGUGUUAAUUUUUACUAAAUGUACCUCAUUAGACUUUCAUUUGAUCUUCAUUAAAAAUUUUUGAAACUUAACUACACUUCAUUGGGAAUGCAAUUACACCCAAAUCCAGCUUAAGUGGAGAAAUUUCCUUUAUUUGUCAAUCCAAGUUUAAUAUUUAUAUCCAAAAUUUUAAAUGGAUCGAAUUGAUAUGAAAAAAAAUUUCUUUUAAUAUCAUGAGGAAAUUAGACUCAAAUAGAAAAAGCCUAUGAAUACCCUAAUCACAUUCUCAAAAAAAUGAAUCUUUAAAGAUAAAAUAUCAAAUUCUAAAUAGUAUUCUCUAGUAAUAAAAUAAACUUACAAAAAUUUGAAUUCACUUCUGAUAGAAUAAUUAGUGUAAUUAGAGGAUUCAAUUGCGAAUUAAGAAAAGUAAAUUAUUGAUUUGAUAUGUUUCAAUGAGAAAUGUUGACAACCUUUUAUGUGGUUCACGAUUAUCCUUGAGUUGAGCACAUGAUUCAUGGAAAUUUUGUCACGUCUUGGCUUGUUUAUUGUAGCUGUAGAACUGGGAACGCAAGAUUACGGUGGUGAUUCGACACCACCAUUAGGCAAAAACAAUGUGGCCAUCUGACCAUAUGGCAAAAUGGAAAAAGAAUUAAAUGACAAAAGGAUGAGGAAAUAAUCAUGACAAUUCCAUGUUCAACUUUAAAAUACUUUCAAACAUCAUGCCAAUUCACAAUUCACAUGCAGAUGGAGGAAAUAAUCAUGCAAUCGGUGAAAUUUUGUAACCAGAUAGGACUUUUAUUUCGGCUUUGGCCAAAUGGAAGAGGACAUAAUAAAUCAUAAUUCCAUCCUUUUUCUUUCAAAAACAUUCCAAUAAAUCAGAAUUUAAUGUAUUAUUGACAUAAAAUUUUGUAGGAAAUAUAAAUAAAGUCUAUGAGAAUGAUUCAAGAUUGGGACACUGAUCCAUUAACAUAGCAAACGCCUUAGAUGCGACAGUACAAGUAUAAAAAGAUGCAACCCAUCGGUUUCUAGUGGUCGUGCUCCAAAGAAAGAAAAAUUCUAAUGGGACCUAUUUUCAGCUAGGUGAAAUUUACAGUAAUUAAAUUUCUUUUAAAUAAUUUAGAAGUUUUUUUUAAUAAGAAAUAUUACUAUUUGAGGGGGGAUAUACUUAGAUAUUGAAUUAAAUAUUUAAAUAUUUUUCUUAAAUUGUUUUAAGUUUUCCAAAUUAAAAUAAAAACCAAGAUUUUUUUGGCAAGAAUCAUGGGGGCGUGGAAUCUUUUGGGAGGCAGGAACUGAGCUUUGACCCUAGCUCUCUUGUGCUUUACUCUCCUUUUGGGUAAUCAUUAGGCCAAGAGCCACCGAUUUUAUAAGGAAAAUGGGUUCCUAUCUAUCCAAAGUUAUGAAACCAUUUAUGGCAAGGAUAUGAUAUGAUAUUUUUGAGUAUACAUAAACUAUCGGUGUUUGUCCCCGAUGGAAGAUGGAGCAUGCUUGCAGUAAACUAUGAUAUUUAAUUAGCUUAGAAAGACAACCCCAUAAACUCAAAAUCAAAUAUAUUAUAAUGAGAAGCUAUUAGAAAUGUGUUCUCAACUAUGCGCCAAACUCAUGAUGGAUGCCUGAGAUCAUGAUCCAACAGCUUCAGCGAUGGGAUGUGCUCAAACAAAUAUAUAUAUAUAUAUAUAUAUAUAUGUGCUGGAGGUCCCAAGGGAAGAUUAGAGAUAAAAUUUUGAAUUGACUAAAGCAUCGUGAGUGAUUUUGAUUUCCAGAGAAUCUGCCAUCGUUGGAUGUCAUAAUCAACCCAUAGUAUACUGUUUAUAUUGUUUCUUGGCAGGCAAGAUUAUUUGGAAGUGCCCUAGGUUUGGUACGGUGUUUGAUUUUUUUUUUCCGAAAUAGAUGACAGGGAUGUUUGAAUGAAUUUGAUCGCUUCAUUUUCAAUUUCUUAGCGGUCAGUUUACACUGACAAGCUAGUAAUAUGGCAUGACCUGAUUGAUAAAUAUAACAAGUAAAAACAUAGUUUUUAUCACAUAAAUCAAGUUCUUCGAAGAUUGGCAGAAACGUGACAGCUUUGAGUAGAAAUGACAAAAGAAAUUUGCUACGAGGAUUGGAUCUUUCCGGAGGAAUUAUUGAUUUACAAAGUUUGUCCCGUCCUUCCCUCUGCUAGCAAUAGCAAACCCUCCCAAGAUUCCUCGUCUUGUGACUGAAUUUUAUCAUCCAUCUACCAAGCCGAGGUAACAAGCUCCAAGGUAAGUCAAGCUCCAAGGAGAGUCAGUGAUUUUGAUGGCAGCAGCCUAGCAGGGCACUGGAUUGAAGUGGGGAGAACAGGAUAAAAGCUAGAGUGCAAAUGAAGCUAUUGUAUUAAAUCCAGAAAGUGCGAAAGAGGGGUUGGGGGGGGGGGGGGUGUAAAUCUACCCACUUAAACUAGGAUCAAAUGGUUGUUUCCUCCAAAUACUGCAAUUGGGGCCCAACUGCAACCCACAAGUUGUGAAAGCAAUCAGAAAGAUAACAGAGAAGGUUGUUUUUAAAAGAGAAAAAUAUCUAUCUGCAUGCAAUAUAAUGGUGGCUCCAUAUUACUUGAGUACUGAACAAGUGCAUGUGAACUAUAAUUCCUUGCUUGCUGUGUUUGAAUCUUUAAAGUUGCCUUAUUUCUAAAGAUUGAGACAGCAAGGUAGGUCGAAACUCUUUAUUUUAAAGUUGAAGAGAAUGAUUGCCUUUUGUUGAACCAAUUGUCUAGAGAACAAAUCUAAGCUUUUUUGCUUUUGAUAAUUACGUUAAGCAGAGUAUUGAUUCGGCCUAAAGCUACUAGGUUCUACAAUGAAAAUUUCCAAGGUUCAAGGUUUCUUAAACUAGGCUUAGAUCAGAUCAUUCUUAACCCAAGUCGGGCCCUUUGGAGCUAACUUUUUACUCCUAAUGACCAGGGCCCAUGUGCUGGAGGGCUCAUCUCUACCCCAAAAAGGGUAAAGAAAAGUGGCCUAAUCCCCAAUCUCAUAGUGGCUCAUUAAUCACUUUUCAGCCGAAUCAUCCAUCAGAAAGUUCACUAGUAUUAGCAUAGUGUUACAUGAAUGACUGCUUGAGAAAUUUGUAGUCAAGCUUACUUGUCGAAGGCAGCGUUCAGAUAGAUUAAGAAAAUUUGAACCCCAACAAACACGAACAAACUAGCUAGCAAGCAAACGAGCUAGCGUUAUUAAACUAUUAGACGACAUAAAGAUGCAAAUGGUGGCCUGCAUGACCAACAACUCUAUGUCUGUGGGGACUGCUAGAGAGCUUUAUUCCUUGCCUCCUUGGUCUUCUCCUUCACCACUUGAGUUAUCAGGAAAGUGCUGAAAGAAAAUGAAGAAAUAAAAGAGUAGGAAACCAUUGUAAUAUUUACCAGUUACAUGAAUAAUAUUUGAAAUAGGAAAUAUGGCUGCCUAAAGUACAUGGUGUAUUUUCUAUAUGAACACCUUGUGGAUGAGGGAGAGAUAGUAUGGCUUCACUUCCUCGACGUUGAUCCUCACCUUGUUUUUGUUACACAGAUCAUAUUUGCUACAGAGGGAAACAGAUGGAUGGAUGAUCAUUGAUCUCCCCCUACUUAUGUGGUGAAUCAAAUGAGGUUCUGGUUAAUUACCUUUGAGUUGUAAGUUAAUAUUGCUGUCAUUUCUUUUAUAUACGCACAAAAGGAAAGAGAAAACCAUGUACACUUGAACAUGACUUUGAGCCACUUCAACAUCUCCUUGUCCUUAUCAUUCAUCGGGUAAAUAUAAGAUCCAGAUCGGUGUACGGCUGUCCAAUUCAAAGUACCAAAAAUUAAAGAGAAUUAAGAUUUGAUUGAUUGGUGUUUUUAUUUUUUAUUAAAAAUAUAAAAAUAUCAACGAAAUGAACCAAAUUAAAUUACUAUAAUAUUGGAAUCACGCCCAGGUUUAGGUUCUAUUUCAUUUUGACAACAAUAUUACAAGGAUUAUAGAACUCGACGUAGAAUGUCAACAUUCUUUCUCAAUUUCAUUUGGACUUUGGGCUCUAAACACUUUUUAAAUUAAUGAGCCUUAAUAGAUUAAUCUCUGCAUAUAUCUUGUUAUAGCUGACAUUUUUCAAUCUGAAAGAGAACAUUUAACUAUGAAUCGUAAGGAGAUAUAUAAAUUGACAUGGUGGUUCAUAAUAGAUUCGUCAAAAGAGGAAACGUGUUACCUAGCAAUUAGAAACAUACACCACCAAAUUAUAUAUAUAUAUAUAUCUCAUCCUAUAUAUUGAUUUAUCAUAAAAAAAAAAAAGGUUCACGAGCUGAUAAAUGAUCAAAAUAUCAAAUGCAGCAACGGCAACCCAUUGUGGCUGAGCGCCGGCCAAAUGAGGGAGGAAACACAACUUUCCCCAAGUCAGUAACGUUUGCACAUUGUAAACAUUAGCUUUUUGCACGUGCAAUCGUGCAUGUGUAUUUUUUGUCAGUAUACGCAUGCAGGUUAGUAUAAUUAAGCUAGGGCUGGAGACAAUUGUAAACCGUGCAUUAGGGCAGUGAGAUGGAGCCAGUCUUCAUCAGGGUAGGCCUGGCGGAAGGCUUAGGCACUCUGGAGGGAGCUGCUCCAUUGUGGCUCGUCCAGAUCAGGGCCACUCUCGUCGAUAUUCGUUGAGUAGCUCCCAGCAUUCCCAGAUGCUCUCAUAGCUUGAGAGAAAUUAGGGUUGAGUGGCUUCUAACUUUCCAAGUCUCAACUCAUUUCAAAGAAAAAGGGAUGGCCUUCAAAUCCAUCUUUAAGAAGAUAAUAAUAAUCAAAUCAAGUGACAAACAUCCAGAAAAAAAAAAAGGAAAAAAUGUUUAUGUUACAUGCGAAAAUGACACAUGAAUAUUAUAUAUAUAUAUAUUUAUAAUAAGAUCAUAUUUCAAGUGAGAAACAAGGUUACCAAUCAUCCUAUAACCAAACAAUUUGACUUAAUACCAAGUCUAAUUAAUAUAUAGUACUCAUUCCCUAAUUUUCUAACAAAUUCACAAAAGUCUUCCACAUGACGGUUUGAUCAUAGCUAAAGCAAUCAUUUUGGAAACCACUCAACGCCUCAAUUGCAACUCUUAUUUAUAGUCAAUAAAACAAUACGUGAUUCAACUCUUUUUUUUUUUUUUUAAUUAAACCAUGGGAAACUCUUUCAUGAGUAAUUCAAGAUCAAAUGCAUGUACCAUGUUAAUGAAAUUAUUAACAAAGAUUUGAAUGCAAAAACUAAAGAAAAAUAUCUCUAAAAUUCAAAAUUUUAGAUUAGUAGUCAUUGUGAACGUAGGAUAGCUUUCUCAAUUUCAAAUCAAAUAAUAUAAUCUAUUAUAGCUUACUUCCAUGAAAAUCUCUAGUAUGGGAUGAAUGACUUUUCACCGAAUUGGAAUCAUCAGCGGAUAGUUUUCAAUAUGAAGUGAAUGACUUUCCAUCGCAUUGAAAUCAUAAAAAAUUUAAUAAAAAACUUAGUAUAAAUAAAAACUUCAAGAGAAUUAACCAUAAAAAAAAAUUGAUUUAAAUAAGACCAAUCUUAUUAAGAAUUAUGACAGUUUUGAUACCAUUCUCUUAAUUUCUUAUAAUUCAUUUUAAAAAAAAUAUCUUUCAAUUUUUUGUAAAUUCAUAUAUUUUUUUUAUAAAAUAAAAUCGUAACAUGAAAAUAAAAAAUAUUUAUAUUACCUUUGCAUUUUUCAUUUCUUAAUCUUAGUGCAUGCCAUUAUUUUAACACUUCAUUCUCAUCACCCCAUCCCAAAAAUAAAGAAUUUUUCCUUUGGUAACGCACCAACUAUCUUAUUUAUUAGCCAAAGCGAAGCAAUGCUGUCGGUUCUAAAAUAUGCAAAGAUCUCUGCUGGCAACGUCUCUGACCUAUUUGCAGCAGCUUGCUCCUCUACCGACGUUGACUUUUGCAGCAACGUGACAUAAUCUCACCCGUCUGAUUCGCUUUGUUCUUACCUUUUUUUUUUUCUGAUGUGUUUUUGAGCUGUGAUUAACACAUCAACACGGUUCAGCCGUUGAUUUGAAACGCACUCCUCUCCCAACUCCCACCCCAAAAAAAAAAAAAAAAAAAUCAAAUCUGAGUCGUUGGCCAUGACUAGAUGCUGCGUCAGUCUGAACCAACUGAUAAUAACAUACGUUAUCCACGUAGAGCUGAGUCAGUCUCCUACUCCAAAUUUUUUAUUUAGUUUUUUUUUUUUUUAGGAUUUUUGAGUUAUCUCGGAAUAAACGCAUUCUCAUUUUAUUAUCUUACAACUUUAAAUCCUAAUUUCUAAAUUUAAUCCUAUAAUAAUAAUAAUAAUAAUAAUAAAUUUCUAGAUAAUUUUUUUGGCCAGUGAAUUUGUAGAUAAUUGACUAAACAAAGAAAUUACACUAGUUUACUUAAAAUAAAUUUAAAUCCAAAGUUUAAUUCGUUAAUUUUUUUUAUUUUUAGAAGAUAAUAUUUAUCAUCUUUACAUUUAAAUCUUGAUAUUAUAUUUUUUAUACCCAGAUAUUUUAAAGAUGAUUUGACAGGUGGAAGAAAUUGAUUGGAAGUUGAGGGUCACACUCAUUCAAAAGGAGUGAGUCAGGUGUGAUUAGAUCCCGUGUUUGGAUUAUUGUGAAGGUGAUUUAUUCCAUUUUUGGAGAUAAAAUGGUUGGAGGAAGAAACUAAAGAUUUUUCAGUUGAGGACAUGAAAAAUUCCAAUUGACAAGGAAGGACUUUUCUUAUGUUACUAUAAAAACCCCUCCAUUGCAACAUCACCGACCGCAUACAAGAAGUCAUUCGAUUGAGCUUUUCUGUUGGUUUUCUUUGUAGACAAGUUUUUGGGCUACUUUUUUUUUUUUUUUUACUACUUUGUUUUAACAUUUUCUUGGAGGGAAAAUGACUAUCCUUAUUGAAAAGCCUGAGCUAGGUACCAUUUUUUUUUCCAUGGAGUCUAAUAAAAUUGAGUUUGUGAAACAGUCACUUAUUGGCUUCAUUUUAAUGUUUAACAGAGUCUCAAGCUGAGUGCCAGAAGCAUGUUGAGGAAACUGACGAAUUGGUGUUGGAUGGUGGAUUUCCGGUGCCACGUGAUGGGUUUUUGGCACCUGAAAUCAACUCAUUUGGCCACUCCUUCAGGUAUAUGAAUUGACCCAUAACUUUUUCUUUGACAAUGUCCCCGUUUGUUUUCCAUUGAGAGAAAUCUUAACAAUAAAAUGGCUUUGCAGGGAUUAUAAUGCAGAAAGUGAAAGGCAGGAGAGCGUGGAGGAAUUCUACAGACAGCAGCACAUUCAUCAGACAUACGACUUUGUAAGCAGACCUAAACAUAAUUUCAACUUUGUGGCCUUCAUUUGUUCGUUGUUUGAUAAGUGAACUUCCGAUGCAGGUGCAACAGAUGAGGGAAGAGUACUCCAAAUUGGACAGAAUGGAAAUGAGCAUAUGGGAAUGCUGCCAGCUCCUGAAUGAGGUCGUCGAUGACAGCGACCCUGACCUGGAUGAACCUCAAAUUCAGCACCUAUUGCAAUCAGCUGAAGCUAUUAGAAAGGAUUAUCCUGAUGAAGACUGGCUUCAUUUGACUGCUCUUAUUCAUGGUAUAAACUUCCUUUGUCCUAGUCUAUGCAACAACUUAAUACAACUGUCAUCCAUACCCAUAUUUUGAUUCAAUCCAUGGCUUCUGCCCCACCAAAUCUAUAUAUAGAAAACAAGAUGGUCCUGCCUUACUGGAUAACUACCAAAAUAAUAGCCCCCCUUGAAACUUUGAAAAGGAUAAAGGAUUUUUUUCUUAAACAAAAAAAGGAAAGGAAUUAAUCUACUAGGUUUGUGGAUUCCAGAUCUUGGAAAGGUUCUUCUUCUACCCAAGUUUGGAGGGCUUCCACAAUGGGCUGUUGUUGGUGAGUUUUGAGUUUAUCAUCAUGCUUUAUAUGAUUUUUGUUUUAUUGUUUUGAGUGAUUCCGAUUAAACAAUCAAUCAAUGUCAAUAUGUAAAUUGCAGGAGACACAUUCCCUGUAGGAUGUGCUUUUGAUGAGGCCAAUAUUCACCACAAGGUCUUUUCUCUUUCCUCCAAAAACAAAAAAAAAAAAAACUGUAUCCAUAAAUCCAUAAUUUGUUUAAGAUAAACAAUAAACUAAAAUAAAAUCCAAAAAUUCUUUUGUGUUUCAGUAUUUCAAGGAAAACCCAGAUUAUAACAAUCCUGCUUACAACACUAAGAACGGAAUUUACUCCGAAGGCUGUGGGCUAGAUAAUGUCAUGAUUUCAUGGGGGCACGAUGACUAUAUGUACUUGGUAUUUUUUUUUUUUUCAGUUUACCUUUUCUAUAACUCUUCGAAUUAUUAAUUACAUACUAAAAAAACAUGUCAUUAUAAGGUUUGUCUUUAACUUUACAGGUAGCCAAGGAAAAUGGAACUACUCUACCUUCAGCCGGGUUGUUCAUUAUCCGAUAUCAUUCCCUUUAUCGUAAGCACUUAUGAAUUGAUAUUUAAUUGAGACAAAAUUUUAUUUUUGGUAUGAAAGGGAUCAAAGUUUGAGAAUAUAGGAAAAAAUUAAAUCAGAUCUGUUGGAUGUUACUUUUUAAGAUUAAUUAUAUAAAUCAAACAGAUUGAAUCUCAAAUUUAAGAAAUUUUUUAUAAUGUGCAAUUUAGUUUAUAUUUUAAAUUAUAUAUUAAUUAGUAUUUAAUGUAAAUAAUUUCAAUUUAUGCAGCUUUACAUAAGGAGGAAGCAUACACGCACUUACUGAAUGAAGAGGAUAAGGAGAAUUUGAAGUGGCUCAGAAUAUUCAAGUGAGCCUCAAAUUCAAUCAUUUUUCAUUUUGAUAUUCUUUUUCUUAUAACUUUUUUGUCUACAUGAAUUUAUGCCAAAUUAUUUUUUUAAUUUCUUUGAAAUAUUAAUUUUACAGCAAAUAUGACCUCUACAGCAAGAGCAAAGUCCUGGUUGACGUUGAAAAAGUCAAACCAUAUUAUCUUUCACUUAUUGAAAAAGUGAGUACUGCAUUUAUUUGUAGGGCAAAUUACUUUCACCUUAUGAUUCUUUUGUUUCCUAAAAGUGAAAAUUUUUUGUUGCAGUAUUUCCCAGCAAAGCUCAAGUGGUAAUAGCUUGAAGAAAUUUAAUUAAGGAUGUGAGAUUAAAGACUGAAAGCUUGAUUAAUUAGCUGCCUUAGCAUAAGGAAAUUUUGGGCGGCUGGGUGCUUCAUUUUCUUCACCCAAUUAUAUGAUUUAUAUUUGCUGAGUUACGUAAAAAAUAAAUUGAAAUGUGUGUUUUUAUCGUCAUUCGUUGUAACUAAAGUCGUUAACUACUAAAUCCGAAAUUUAGUUCAUUUAUACAGUCAUCCUACAAUCUUUUGUACGUAAUUGAAAUUUUGUACAAGCUCCCCUCAUGUACUCAAGUGCCAUAGGAUGUUUGAAUAACUUGCAAACUAUCAGUUCUCAAAGCAAUAUGUCAUUUUUAUGUCUUAAUCUUUUGGGAACAGCAGUACAGUACCAUCACUGUGAAUCUAGCAUCCAGAAGACUAUCAUAAGGCCCCUGAUUUGAACGAAUAGACCAGAAGGUCAUUUCAAUGCCAUGAAACUGAAGCAAAUGUUGUAUUGUGAGAGAAAAGAACGAGUGACAGUCGUUUGAUCCAUGGUAGUUGGUACAAACAUGAGCAAGCAUUAGGGUAGGUGUAAAUUGAUUAAACAAGAGCUAGUAUUAGAAUUUUUGGGCCACUUUUUGUGCCAAUUUCAAUGGACUAUAGAGUGCCAAGCUAUGAAAAAAAAUCAAAUGUCAUUAAACCACUUCUACCAUGAAACUAUCAUACAAGCAAACACUAGAUACAAUUAAGUAUGGAGCAAACUGUUGAAGGUUUUUGUUUCUAUUUAACUUAUUGUACGACUUGCAAAACUUAAAAAGUUGAAAUAGAAAAGAAAAGGGCGAACAAAAAAAGAAAAGAAACAGGGAGAAAAUAAAAAACAAUUUGCCAGGAUGCUCAAAGACAAUCGCCAUAUCCAAUCUAGAAAACUAACCCCUUUUUUUUUCCUCAUGAUGCUUUGUCCAUCAGCUGAAUUGGAGUCAGAAUGUUAGCCUUGCUUGUCUCAACAACAGAACCAUUCAUAACCAUUUCCUCCAACAUGAAAUGUGCUUUCUCUAAAUGGAACAUGAUAUCUAGCUCACACUGCAAAAAAAAAAAAAUCAAUAAACAAAGAGAUAACAAUGAUUAAAGACACAAAUACACAAGUCCAGUCACUUUGAAAGGGUUAGAGAUUAAUCCAUCUUCUUGGGGAAGAACUUACUACGUUGCCAAAAUGACGGUCCAUGGUUUCAACUAAGAGAUGUAUAAAUUCCAAAAUUGCAAGCUCAUUCUGCCACAUCAAAGACAAGAGAAGAUAAAGAUGAAUAUAAGCUUGAAUUUAAGUCUUGGUUCAUAUCAAAACCCAAGUUCUAGAGAAGUCAUCCAAAAUUCAUUUUCUCUCCGAUUUUCACCCAAUGUCAAGAACAUAUGUUGGAUGCUUAAUCAGGUUUUUAUUGCUAAAAUGGUGUUAGAAAAUAAGGGAAGAAACGGAACUUACUUCAUCAUUGUCAACUCCAACUAAGAAAAACAGCGAAGCAUAUCGCCUGUAUACGAUUUUGUAAUUUCGAUGCUCAACAAACGAACACUGUCACAAUUUAACCAAAAAAAAAAAGAAAUUAAUGAUAUCAAAACCCAGAUUUUUAUAAAUGAGAUGGGGGAAAUUACAAAUGAUGACGGAAAUGAAUAAAUAGAGCAUAAUUCUGAAGCAGCUAUAAUUUGAAAAAUCCAAAUCCCUAACAAAUCGCGAACAGAUAAAAUGUUUAAACGCAAUGCUUUUUCUUAGGUGCAAUUUAUAAAAUGAAGGCAUGAGAAGGGGAAAUGUGAAGAACCUGUUGCUCGGUGCGGGCUAAGCACUUGCGGACGAUCUCGCCUUCGAGGGCACGUCGUUCUUCGAGGGUGAGCCAUUCGUAGUAUUGGGCGAGACGAGUCUGCCCUUGCUUGUUCACCAUCAAUAUGAAUCUGAUCCCCAUCUCUCUUUCUUCCUUCUGGAUCUGAAUCUCUAUCCUCUACCAGCAAAAUUGAUCGCGCUUCUUUAUAUUUUUCCCCUUUCUGUGCACAUGGGCUUUUGUUGCCGUUGUUGUUGAGCUCAAUGGGAAACUUGCAGAUUAGGACCGAGGAUUUUUACCUUUCACGUUUUAUGGGGUAAUAAUUUUAGUGAUUCCUGCAUGAUCAGCUGGGCCUGGGCCGAAAACCUCUUUGCUCAAAAAUAGGUGACUUUUUAGUAGUUACUUUUUUAAAUUUUAUCAAUCCAUAUCCUCUUGCCAAGGAAUCAGAAGGCAAAACCGAUUGCAUUCCUAAAAUUUUCAAAUUUAUAUGCUUUAAGUAAUUUUCUUAUUCUUACAAGAGCAAGGUCAUCCUCACCGCGCAAAUAGAUUUUCUAAUUUCACUUUAUAUAUCAUUAAUGUGCUAUAGAAAGAGAAUAACAAUCAUUAGUACGUAGAAAAGCAUAAAAAUCUAAUAAAGUUUUAUAGAAAACCGAAAAUUCGUGUUCACAACUAUUAUCUAGUUCUACGCUUCCAUCAAACCCAAAGGAAUGGCAGAAGCAAAAUAAUAAACUUUUUUUUGUCACGUUUCGAUUCGCCAAUCCGAUAGUAAUUUAGGAUUCACAGUAAGGGAACAAUAAUUAUAAAUUAUUAUCAUAUAUUUUCUAAAGGUCCAUUUAUUUCCUCGUUAUCCAAGCAAAAGGCCUUGGAUCAUCCCCAUGCAUUACUCGGCCUAGCAACUCCCUGCUUGCAUAAUAGGGAGUACUAGGCAUUAACCAGCACUUUGUGACUUGUUUUCAUACCAGGAUAGGAUCAGGACUGACUUGAAAUACGCACACUAAAAAUUAUCACUUCCAUUCAACAUUGUCAUCAUAAAUUGACAAUAUUGCAGCACAUAAGGAGGAAUACAACCAUAUAAUAAGUUCUUUUUACUCUUAGGGUUCAUGAAGCAAAAGAAAUCAAACUGCCGAAUUUUGCACAACAGUAUUAUUCAGGGUGUUUGUCGCAGCAUGCUAUUCUAACUGCGGGCUAAGCAUUAGCAGUGGUAAACUACCAACCUCAGUUGGUUACCUCAUUCGAAACAAAAGUCUCUUGGCCACAAUUUCCAUUAUCCAACAAUUGGUUUGACGGUUCUUCAUCACCCUUCUCUUCAACAUCUUUAGCACUCAAAAAGCUUGGUUGAUUUGUUGACGAAAGGAGCCUUGCCCACAUCCUAUCUGUAAUCACAACAUGGUUUUGUUUCUCGAUGAUUCGCUGCAGAGAAAUCAUCCAAAAAUUAACUCCAUCUCAAACACAAAGUUUUAAGGUGUUGCAUCCAUAAACAUUACUGCUAAACGAAAAUGUAUAAUUUAGUCUUACCAUCUCAACAAAUUUCUUAUUGUCACUACCUUAGUCAUCAGUUUAGCCAUAAAGGCAAAGGGUAAAUUACACACAAAAUGAUUUGAAGAUUUCAAAUUUCAAUUUCACCCCUCUUAAACUUGGAAGGGACAAGAGUUGUCACAGAAUACGAUGCAAGUGAUUUUUGAACAACUCUACAUAUACUCAGACAGAAGCCAAAAGAAAAUUACUACUGAACGGUGUUAGUUUCAUUUACCACCCCCUAGAGGAAAAAUAAACAUCAAGGCAUGUUCUCUGGGGAAUAUUUGUUCCUCACCCCUAUAAAAAUAAAUAAACAUCAAAACAAAUUCCGUGGGAGUGCAUUUGGGUGAGGGAUUUGAAGGAAAGAUUUCAUUUGUAAAAAGAUUUUUAAAAUUUUAAAAUGAAAUUACUUUGGCUGAAUAAAAAUUGAAAUUAUCAAAAUUCUUGAAAUUUGAAGAAAGAAUUUUAGAUGACUCAAAUUCUCUUUUCAAAUUCUACCCAAGGAGAUGGAAUUUGUGAAAUUCCUUAAUUUUAUAGUAAAAAGUCAACAUUUAUUAUGUUUUUGUUCUUUAUGCAACUUUUGUUUUUGUUUUUUUUUUUUUCAAUUUUAACUACAAAACUCAUUAUAAAAUUUAUUUUUUAAUAUUUUUCAUAUUAUUAGUAAUAUCUACACAUUUUUACAAAUCUAAUGACACCUAUAUUGCAUAAAUUUUUUUAAUAUUUUGCUUUUUCGAUCUCUAAUAUCAUUAUUUUUCUAUUAUGAUUAUUUUUCAUCUCAUCAUAUUCUAAUAUUUAAAAUCUAAAAACUAAUUAUCCAAAUAAUACAAUUACAAACUCUGAUAUUUUGAAUUGAUGUAUUUCAAAAUGCUAGUAUUUUAAAAUUCUUCAAAAUUUCAAAAUUCCCUAUCCAAACGCAUCUUGGGAGACUCUAUUAUCAUAAGGCAUACAUGAAACCUAGAAAAGCUAGAUGUAAGUGUUUCAAGGAAUAAUAGAAUCUUAAGGAAUGCUCUAAAGAAUGUGAACAUCAUCAAAAACACAAAAGAUGAACUGACCACCAUCAGAAGUUAUACAUGCAAAGAACCAGAAAAUGUCAACGUCACAUAAGAGGUACUAAAAUCACACUAUCUUUAAAUAGUUGGGUUUAAUAAAACAUGCAAUAUAAAACAACAAUUUUCUAGAAGAAUUUUCCAAAUUAAAACUCUUUUAAAUUAUUUUAGGAUGAACUCACAUUGAACGGUAUGUAUGUCUGCCUGCCGUUAACAAGACCACUUGUGAAGCCAGUGUACCCUGCCAUCGCUCCAUGCACAACACUUUGGGCAAGAAGUGUGCAGUAAACAUUAUCAGAUGCAUUGCUUGGGAUAGCACGAAUCAUAUAAGUAGGAUCUGCCAGGAGACAAAGUACGAUGCUCAAUAACUUCUGCCAACAACUAGCUACUUUAACUCAAAAACACCUGUAUUUUCUGUGGCAAAAAGAAAUCCUCAAAAACAUCUCAAGUAUCUAUUCUACUAACCUAUAUAUUUGAGGUUUAUGGGCAUCUUCCUUUGUUUUGAAAAGUAGUCCUGAAAAUGACAGGCAAAAACCAAUGAAUGUUACACCAAGAAAUUCCAUAACAUGCAUCAUCACACGUUUGCUCAGAUUGGAGUGUAGCAGAAACGCAAAUCCUGGAGCAUUUCACCAUAUUGCUACCUCAAAAGAUAUGAAUUGUUCCUAAAUUGAAUCCAUAUGGCAUACCUUGAUCCUCUGUGAUAUCCAUAGCCCAACAUCCUGGAGAAGCUUGUUUCCUGAAGCAUCUUUCUGUGUCAUUGAUUUCAUGCUCUCGGAAAGCAGCUCUUGGCCAGCACCCUCUGCUAUCACGAUAACCAUAUGCCCAUUUUCUUUAAGUCGUUUCUCAAUGUAUUCAAAAAGCCCUCCAGCUCCUUCAAGAAAAAAGGGUGACUCUGGGAUCAAGCAACAAUCCACAUCUCGGCUUGCGAGAGUGGCAUACAUUGCAAUAAAACCUGUCCAUAAGUUGGGUUUAGAUUGCAUUAACCAAAAUAAAAAGAACAUUCUGACACAGUUUCAGGAAACAAGGAAACAUAAUUAAGGGGAAUGUGAACUCAUCUGCAGAACAAAACCAAGAAUAUUUUUAAAUGACACUCAACUUAAAAUCGAAAAGAUUUAUGUAAAAUAUCAUAACUUGAUAAAAUCGUAACUGUCUCACUUCUUGCAUUGCACAAUUAACACUUCAAGAGAGACCAAAAGAGAUACUUACCACUGUAGCGACCCAUCAACUUCACAAGACCAAUACCAUUCUCAAUACUUUCAGCUUCAACAUGAGCAGCAUUAAUAGCACGUUGAGCCUCCUCAACGGCAGUGUCAAAGCCAAAGGAUUUGUCAAUAACCUACCAAGUGCCAAAAAGAAAUAAAGUUUCAAGACUGUGUAGUAACCAAAAAAAAAAAAAGGUUGCAAUUCCUAACAGGCUUUUGGUACAGCAACAUUCUAUCCGAGCUAAGAGGAUUACUGGAAUGUCGUUGUCAAUGGUUUUAGGGAUUCCCGCAACUGAAACUUUGAGACCUCGCCUUCUAACUUCCUGUAAAGUGUGGAAUAAAUUUUUUUUUAAUAUGCACAAAUUCACAGUACAAAUCAAUGUGUGUAUAUUCCAUUAAAGAAAUCACCUCAAAUAUAACAGCUGCACCUCUCUGAGUUCCAUCACCGCCAAUAAUGUAAACCUGAGUUACCACAAAUGAUCAAAUGUCAGUCAGAUUGGCAUGUCUUCAUCAUAAUAACUACUUGAAAUUCAACUUAUGGUCGACAAUCGCAAAUAUCAUCUAAAUUUUUUUACAGACCUGAUUAAUUCCACGAUCCUGAAUGCUGUCAACAAUCUUUGUAGUAUCAUGCCCACCUCGUGAUGUCCCAAGGAUUGUUCCACCACGUUUAUGGAUAUCAUUGACAACAUUGGGAUCUAAAUGCACGGUAUUUUUAGCAUAAAAUCCCCUGUAUCCUCCCUGCAUAUGCAUUAAACUCAUUAAUCGCUAAUGCACCAACUUAUUAAAUGAUGGAUAUAAUAUAUAUUUUGACAACCUUGGGAUCUAAAUGCACGGUUUUUUUAGCAUAAAAUCCCCUGUAUCCUCCCUGCAAAUGCAUUAAACUCAUUAAUCGCUAAUGCACCAACUUAUUAAAUGAUGAAUAUCUAUAUUGCAGUGUCUUCUGAUCAAGGGAAAGCAACAUAUACCCGGAUGAAAGCAGUAGGUUGACACAUUUAACGAAGCAGUCCAUGUAAUAAAAUUUAUAUGUUUCUAUUAAGUCAUGUAGAUAUGGUGCCAUUAUUAACAACUCAGAGCCAGAAAGCAUUAAUGCUUCAAGAAACUUUUCGCUUAUUUGUUUAUCAUUUGUAGGGAAAAUCAAAAGGAGUAAUAGGAAAGUAAACUCCAUAAAGAAGAACAAACUAGAGGUGAAACGAUCACUUACAUCUAUCCCCAAAACUUUCUUCACACCAUACAUGUGGUUCAAGCCACAUACUAUCUCUCUAAUCACAGUGUUGAGUCCAGGGCAAAGACCACCACACGUCACAAUACAGGCAUGAACUUCAUCAGAGUCAAAAUAUACCUAGGCAACCAUCAAAUAUCCAACACAUAGUUGUAAAACAAAAUGCAGAGUUUCAACAUUCCAAAUCUCAUUCUUAAGGUACAUAACAUUAAACAUAUACCUUUUGACGUGGUCCAGCUCGUCGGAAAUGCGUUCCUCUUGGACUAUCCUUGUGAACAACAAUCUAUAAAGAAGAAAAGAGAACAUUGAAAUAAAUAUAAACGAAUGCUUAGAUAAAUUAAAAACAAAAUUACAAGGAAGGCUAACCUUUUGAGGAACGGUGUCAUCUACAUGAACAAAAUAUUGCCUGGUGAAACAGAGAAAUCGAUCCAAUUAAUACUAAUUCAACAACAUUUGCACAAUCGACAAUAGAUAUCAAAUAAAAUUUGUUAAAAAGGAGCUGUGAAAUUAGGCUUACUUAACAACUGAGUAUGCCGGAUUGUCUUGCAACGGAUUGGGAUAAGUCUGUCAAAACAUAAAAUCAGAUUUAGAACAAAUUUCUCAUCAAUUAACUUUAAAAAUAAGAAAAUCAUGAAAAAUACAACCUCUUUUUUUUUAAAAAAUUGAAACUGAAAUCUAAAAUUGUAAUUUGUUGCCAACAAAGAGACAGGGAAAUCAAGCUUUUUAAAAGAAUACGUAUAAUUAUACGUAGAAAGAGGAAAAAAGACAGAAUAAGCAUACAGGAAGAUCAGGAAUGUAAUCCGAUAAGUGAGGAACAUCCUCAAGAACAUAACCACCAGGACCGGUGACGAUCUUAGGCUUUGCAAUCUCAGGCGAAGCAGCAGAAGCAGAGAAAUCCAUCGUAACACGUGUCAAACAGUCGAUCUUUGAACAACCAGAACUCCUUCCCAUCAAACGACAAUCGCAACCGUAACCAAAACUAACCGUACUAAACUUUCUCAAAUUAAAGAUUCGAAAACUCGAUGGCACCGAAAAGCUCGAUUUAUUCUCACUAUUAAUAUUACAAUAAUAAUAAUUCUUAUUAUUAUUCAGUGGAGAAGAGAAAGACGACGUGGAACGAGGGGCGAGAAGGGAAUCCAUUCAACGGAACAUGGAGACGAGAUUUUCGAAGAAAUAGAGAAAUAAGAGAAAUCCAUAAUUAUAGGAGAAUACUGUUUGACUAAAAAUGAAUGUUGGAUGACCCUUCUUAUUUUGUGUUUGUUUGGAGGGGGAGAGGGGGGAAAUUGGCUUUAUAUAGCAGAAAGAAGAGUUGGAAAAACCUGGUUCCGCUGUUGGUUAUUCUGUUCGACGCUCUUGUUUUCUUUUUUUUUUUUUGGCUUCCUUUCCCGAGUUGCAGUUACAAUACCAAUCGCAGUGGGUUUGGGAGAAGAAAGCUGGGAGGAAAGAGAAAAGUGAAUUUUGGAAAUUUCAAUUUGCGCAAAGAUUUUUUGGGACAUAAAAGUAAUAGAUUCGACUGAAAUGUCUUUUUAUUUUCUUGGACUUGGCCGAUAAGUUAAAAAAAAAAGGGUUUUGGGUAGGGUCUGGUCCCGCUUUUUUUUUUUUUUUUUGAGGGGCAGUCUAAUACCAGAAUAAUAACGCACAUUGGAUAGCAAUUAUGAAGCUAAGCUACAUUAGAAUCUAAAUAAGCUACACCGACUGCAUGUUUGUCUGUCCGAUGAUUACAAAAAUAUCGUGCAUUUCAUCAAUACACUCAAAACUACUAUUAGGAGAGAAAAAAAUUUAAAAAUUUAAAAAUUAAUUUUAAGUUAAAAUACUUGAUUUGAAUUUAUUUUGUAUUAAUUGAGAUAAAUUUAUAUAUUAAAUAUAUAUAUUAAAUUCGAAUUAAAUUUUAUAUUAAAAGAUAAAAAAUCAAAAAAAUUAAAUCGAAUCAAAUUAUAUAUAUUUUAAAUAUAUUUUAAAUUUUUAUAAAAUAAAAAUAAUAAUUUUAUAUUAAAAUAAUAUAUAAAAAUUAAAAAAUUAAAUUGAAUCACACCAAUAAAAUUUAAUUCAAUUUAAUUUAAAUUUAAAUUUUUAUAAUAUUAUAAUAUUUUAAAAAAAUCAAAUACGAUUUGAAUUGAAGUGUUAUUACUUUUUUACAAUAUAUUUUUAAAGGGAUCCAUUGUGCCUUAUAAGUAUUGAAAUGCAAUUUCGUCAAACAUAAUCAUGCCCGUGGAACAGAACAAAUGUUUAACUCGUUAAAAUCAAAAUGUUUGAUGGCUUUCUUCUACGUAGUCUAAUGUUAAAGUCAAAUUAAUGUGUGGAUUUGUCAACCGCGGCUAGGUAAUAGCUGAUUUCACAUAGGGUUAGUAAAGGAUCAUGCUACAGGAAUUAAUACGGUUAUUUUCUUUUGCACCAAAGAACAUGGCUCGGAGAGAUAUUUUAUAAUUUAUGGUUUGAUGACAUAGAAUUUACACGAGAAAUAAAAUAAAAGGUACAUCUGAUCUUAAAAAAAAAAAUAUAAAAUGUCAAAAUUAAAAUUUUGAAGGCGCAUUUUAAUAUAUAUAUUAAAAAAUUAAUGAUAAAUAAAUUAUUUAAUUAUUUAAAUUAAAAUAAGAUGUAUCGUAUUUAAUAAUUUAAAAUAAAUAAUUAUAAAUUAUAUAUUUAAAAUGAUUUAAUAAAUGAUCAUUAAAAUUUAAAUUUAAAAUUUUGUUAUCAAAAAAAAUAAAUUUAAUCAAUUAAAUUUUAUUGAUAUAUUUCAAUAUUCAAAUAAAUGUACGGAAAAAACAGAAGUACUCUCUUGUAUUCAACAAGAUUCACUUCCAUUUUCUUUUUUUUUUUUCCUUGUCUAGAACGUUUAGGCUGCUGAUAGACUAUUCUCGUUCUCGAUCAAUCUUCCGAUUUUACUUUUUCUUAUUUCAAAUUUCAAAUAAAAGUCAAUUGAAAAGAGGGGAAGAAUAUAAAUUUCAAAUUAAAUAAAAUAUAUUAGAGAGAUUAGUUUAUUAAUAAAAAAAUUAAUUAUAAAAAUAAAAAAUUGACUGUCCAUGAUUAAUUUUCUAUAGAGUUGACAUAGGAAGAU